rnacentral:rRNA from 1 species
CUUCUACACCUAAAAAUUAUCUUAAUCCAACAUCGAGGUCGCAAUCUCUUUUAUCGAUAUGUUCUCUUUAAAAAUAUUACGCUGUUAUCCCUUAAGUAACUUAAUCUUUUAAUCAUUAUAUAAUGGAUCAACUCAUUUAUCAAUGAAUAAAAGUUUAUUAAAUUUUCUUAUCACCCCAAUAAAAUAUUAUAUAANGCUUUAAAGGGUCUUCUCGUCCUUUAAUAAAAUUUAAGCUUUUUAACUUAAAAAUUAAAUUCAAAAACAUUUAAAAUAAGACAGUUAAUAUUUCAUCCAAUCAUUCAUACCAGCUCCUAAUUAAGAAACUAUUGAUUAUGCUACCUUUGCACAGUCAAAAUACUGCGGCCUUUUUCAAUGGGCAGAUUAGACUUUAAAUU